rnacentral:rRNA from 1 species
UACGUAGGGUGCAAGCGUUGUCCGGAAUUAUUGGGCGUAAAGAGCUCGUAGGCGGUUCGUCGCGUCGGCUGUGAAAACCCGGAGCUCAACUCCGGGCCUGCAGUCGAUACGGGCGGACUUGAGUUCGGCAGGGGAGACUGGAAUUCCUGGUGUAGCGGUGAAAUGCGCAGAUAUCAGGAGGAACACCGGUGGCGAAGGCGGGUCUCUGGGCCGAUACUGACGUGAGGAGCGAAAGCGUGGGGAGCGAACAGG